GGGAUUGCCCUAGUAACGGCGAGUGAAGCGGCAACAGCUCAAAUUUGAAAUCUGGCCCCCCGGCCCGAGUUGUAAUUUGUAGAGGAUGCUUCUGGGUAGCGACCGGUCUAAGUUCCUUGGAACAGGACGUCAUAGAGGGUGAGAAUCCCGUAUGCGACCGGCCCGCGCCCUCCACGUAGCUCCUUCGACGAGUCGAGUUGUUUGGGAAUGCAGCUCUAAAUGGGAGGUAAAUUUCUUCUAAAGCUAAAUACCGGCCAGAGACCGAUAGCGCACAAGUAGAGUGAUCGAAAGAUGAAAAGCACUUUGGAAAGAGAGUUAAAAAGCACGUGAAAUUGUUGAAAGGGAAGCGCUUACAACCAGACUUUGGGGCGGUGUUCCGCCGGUCUUCUGACCGGUCUACUCUCCGUCCCGAGGCCAACAUCAUCUGGGACCGCCGGACAAGACCUCAGGAAUGUAGCUCCCCCUCGGGGGAGUGUUAUAGCCUGUGGUGAUGCGGCGCGUCCCGGGUGAGGUCCGCGCUUCGGCAAGGAUGUUGGCGUAAUGGUUGUCAGCGGCCCGUCUUGAAACACGGACCAAGGAGUCUAACAUCUAUGCGAGUGUUCGGGUGUCAAACCCCUACGCGGAAUGAAAGUGAACGGAGGUGGGAAGGGGCAACCCUGCACCAUCGACCGAUCCUGAUGUCCUCGGAUGGAUUUGAGUAAGAGCAUAGCUGUUGGGACCCGAAAGAUGGUGAACUAUGCCUGAAUAGGGUGAAGCCAGAGGAAACUCUGGUGGAGGCUCGCAGCGGUUCUGACGUGCAAAUCGAUCGUCAAAUUUGGGUAUAGGGGCG
rnacentral:rRNA from 2 species